rnacentral:lncRNA from 1 species
UGCCAAUAAUUGUGGAGGGCACUGUAGAUGACAUUGAUCUACAAAAUCCUUUACAAAGAGUGAGUAUUAAAUGUGGCUUUCCUUGUCAUAUUGUCGGUGUGUGUUUAGAAAGUUAGAAAAGAGACCAGCAGUCAGGCACUUACUGUGUGUAUGGACUAAUGUUUGGUCAGUGAUCAGGCUGCAUAACCUGCUGGGCUAAAAUAGGAAGAUAUUUUGCAAAUUUCAAGUCCAAAGUAAUAACAAAUGGGGCUAUCAUUUUAUAUAUUAAGACGUAGAAAUGAACCAAAAUUGAUGACAAAUAAUGUAUUAUAACAUCGUGAUGAUCAAUGGCCUACAGCACUGAUGAUAGAGCUUUAGGUUGAACCGAGGGGCGGGUCGUAGGGUAUUCAUCCACCAAUGGGUGGAGAGGAAAACUUAGUGGACUGACGUCUUUAUAAGGAGGACCACUAUUCAGCACCAAGGAGAGGGAUAUGUUGAUCCACCGGCGCGCGAAUUAUCUCCCUUCUAAUGACCAACAAUCUCUCGAGCUCUAUUCAAAGACACGGCCCAGACACUAUCUGGCUGUUGAGGACAAGAAAAUGAACAACGGAACUUUACUCUUUUUUUUACGUGUUGGUUUGACGAGGCACAUGCGCUGACAAGUUUGUGUUCGACGUAGCCUACAUACCAAAGGAACUCCAGGACUCAAAAUACUGUAGCCAUGAAUUCCUUAAACAUUACAAGUUUUAACCACACGAACCACAAGGGGUAUGCAUUUAUCCCGACGGAGGAACCACUGUACAAGCAGUACAAACCAGUGGCAAGGGACCUCAUCCCACUACCAAAGCCAGUGCUGUACAUGCUGAUGGCUGCGUUGGUGGUCGUCGCUGUGGCGUAUGCCAUUGUGGGACAUCUAAUAAAGGAUCUUGCGAUUGAUAUUGCAGAUUGUAUGAUUGGCCCUGCAGAGGACCCUACAGAGAAAACGAGUGAUCUGAAGAACGUCUCCCCCACCCACAUAUCCUCCGGCAUGAACCAUUUCAACGCCUUCCAUGUCUGGGAUGCAGAUGAAGUGAUUUUCCCUAUGCCGGAUGAUGAAAGUCCCCUGGGCAGCCCGCUACUGAUGUCUGCCAUGCCCUACAUCCCCUUCUUCCCCGCGCACAGCUCCUACAGCAGCCCAGCUCUGCUCGGCAGUCCCAACGUCAUCACAGCCCACCCGCAGGACAUCUGA